rnacentral:rRNA from 1 species
GACGUAGGGUCCAAGCGUUGUCCGGAUUUACUGGGCGUAAAGAGCGCGUAGGCGGUCUGUUAAGUGUGAAGUGAAAUCUCCAGGGCUCAACCCGGAAACUGCUUCGCAUACUGGCAGACUUGAGGAAUGCAGAGGUUUGUGGAAUUCCCGGUGUAACGGUGAAAUGUGUUGAUAUCGGGAGGAACACCCAUGGCGAAGGCGGGUUGCUGGGCCGACACUGACGCUGAUGCGCGAAAGCCAGGGGAGCGAACGGG